UGGCCGACGCGGGCGAAGAGGAAGGGAAAGCCUUGAGCAGUCAGAUCGCAUUGCAGGUGCACCCGCCCCGAGUCUGGGCGGAAGUUCCGUUCAGCUCUCGUUUCCAAAGUGUUUGGGGCGCUGGGGACAGCGCUGCCUGGGGGAGGCUCUUCUCCCCUUUCUGAUGAAGCGGGCCAGCUGGAGGAGAGGCGCUCCACCGCAAGCCCCUGCUUCUUCAAAUUGAGAAUAAGGGUGGAGAACGCUUGCUGUGCUGCUGCAUUUGGAUGAUGGUGGUGAUGGACCACAGAUGGAAUGCCCAGCAAGAGAUAGACAGCUGGGGUUCCGGAGAGAGCCGGAGCUACAAAGUUGGUACGUGGCAGGGCCAGGAAUCGAAUCCAUCUUUCUGGCUUUAAAGCCCAUCCCUCUUCCCCCUCCCCUUUUGCCACAUCACUGUCGUUCCAGAAACAGAGUCAGAGGUGGAGAAAGGAAACAAAUGCGGAAUCAUCUGCAAAGUUAUUGACAAAAAAGGAUGCAAACGGCAACUUGAGAACAUUUACACCUCGGCACCCUCUAUUACACGUGACAGAACUACAGUACAGGACUUGACAAAGGUCCUAGGGGGCUUCGUGGCAGGCUGGCUCUAGGACUCAAAGCCUCCAAUUCUGAAAUCAUGCCCCCACCCCAUUAUACUUUGCUCUUUCCCCAUUGCCUUUGUUUAACGUACCUUGUCAAUUCUGAAAUCCUAGACCUUUAGGCUCCUGUGUGCAU